CUUUGACAUGUUCAAAAAGAACUUUUUUAUUAUAAACAGAAGGCAUCAAAAACAAAGCAACGUCUUUCCCUCAUUUCCAAAAUGAUUUAGGAGUCAUCAAUCAUUUGUAUAACUCUAAUAUGUACAAAAUAACCUUUCAAACUCCUGAGAACUAAAUAUAAAAAAAUGAACAUGAGAAGAUAAAAAGCACAUGUUAACUAAGCGUGAACAUCCUCUGCUUAAUGUUCUGGCCUUAUAUAAAAAUAUGUUUAUUCCAUAGACAAAUAUCUCCUGCCAGAAUAUGUACAAAAACAUAAUAUAUACCGCAACUGGCCACCGUAACACUCACAAGUGCUACUGUUGUAAAUAUCCAGUGAGUUUGCACCAUUGCUGGUGCUUUUAAACUUGCAAAAACAAGAGUCGUCUUGUUAAAGAAAGGCAAAUCCAGAAAAUACAGUAAUAACAGGAACACAAAUUACACUUCUGGAAUACAGAACAGAAAAGCGUGUCAUUGAAUGGUGAAAAAAUAAAUAUCUGAUGCUUUUAUGUACGGCCAAAGGCUUCUAAAUAUAUAUAUAUAUAUAUAUAUAUAUAUAUAUAUAUAUAUAUAUAUAUAUAUAUAUAUAUAGAAAAGGAAGAAAUGUGUUUUAUGUAGUAAAUGUACAGCUUUGUACAUUUAUACAACUUCGUGAAAUUGUGUACAUUGACCAUGCAUGCAAGAGUCAGAAAAAUUUAAGAAAUAAUAAUAAUGCAUAAAAAAUAAAAAGGAUUUGUGUGUGUGUGUGUGUGUGUUUUGAACCUUUCUAGGUGAAAUGAGAAAAAUAGGCAAUUAAAAUAAUGAAAAUACUGGGGUUAAAUGCACUAUAAAAAAUUCUGGAUGUCAAAAUUCAAUUUUAUAUUGAUUUAUGCAUUGUUCAUUAGCUGAGCUAACUGAAAAUUUUCAAUGCAACAAUGAACAGAAAAUGCUGAGUUUUGACCUCCAAAUUCUUUUACAGUGUGGUAAACUCUUACGAUAUGGUCUUUUUAACAUGAUUCAAGACUUUCUUUCUAAUAAUUAGCGAUACAAAUAACUGCCCCGUUAAGAUACAGAUAGGAAGCAGACCAAUCUGUUGAACGAAAAAAGAUUUUUGUCUUGAAAAUGCAAAACAGAGGUUACUGCAGCUGUAGCAACAUAGCCGCUGAUUUAUGAACAAUGGAUCCAAGCAUUAGCAACUGCCGUAUCUUUUUCAACAGGCAUGCAACGUGCGACCAACCUUGCGUGCUUGCAAACAGAUGCUCAGCACAACUCGGAGACGGAAUGGAGUGAGGUCUGUUUGCAAGAGGGCAAAAAUAUUAAUUACAAAGUUCGAUCUUUGAGUGGAGGCAUGCUAGAGGAAGCCCAUGCUGCACAUGUCUGCUGCGCGCCAGACAGUUUAUUCUGGGAAAUCCAAAGCUCUCGACACAGGGAUGGGAGUAUAUGAGUAACAAGGGUGGAGAGAUGGAGAGAAAAAAAGAAAUCAGCACAAAAUUAAAAGGAGUGAACUAAAUUGGCAAAGGCCACAUGGCUUCGGUAAAACCACUGGUGCCGACCGUGGUCCUUUUGAUCUGUCUCGGUGAACAUCAACCCCCCAUCAGCCUAUGACAGGUCCUCAGCACAACCACAUAAAACCAUUCUUCCAGGACUGCUUCCAUUGCUCUCUAACUUAUCCAUUAAUGAAAAAAGACACUGCUGUAGGAGGGGGGUGAUGAAAUACAUCAAAAUAUAGACCAGCUGGGUGAAAUUGCAUGCGUUGAGUCGAGUGAAACAAACUGUAUUUCUACAAAAAAACUGGUAAUCAGUAUUUUUGUCCUUUUUUCAGAGAGAAAAAAAAAUGUACACAUUUAAAAUUAAUUACAUUUAGCUGAGAAGGAAAAAUGCAUAAUAUAUUUGAAUUACAUUUAUUUUUUAAUAAACUUAAUUUAAUAAACUUAAUGCCACUGGCGAUUUUUUUUCUUGUUUUAAACAUAAACCUAAAAAAGAUCAUUUAAAUAAUAAUACAAAAAUGGAAUCUUAUGCAAUUUCUUCUCGAGAAAAAUGUAUCUUAUUUUAAAGAUAUUAUUAUUAUUUAAAUGUAUUUAAUAAAUUAAGCUGUAAGUAAAAUUAGCACAAUACAUAUUGAAUUAAG
ensembl:lncRNA